AGACAAGGUCUUGCUCUAUUAUCACUGGAGUACAAUGGCGUGAAUGUGGCUCACUGCAGUCUCGACCUUCCUGGCUCAAGGGAUGCUCCCACCUCAGCCUCCCAAAUAGCUGGGACUAUAGACACAUGUCACCACAUCUGGCUAAUUUUUUAUUUUUUGUAGAGAUGAGAUUUCACCAUAUUACCCAGGCUGUUCUUGAACUCCUAGGCUCAAGUGAUUUGUCUGCCUCAGCCUCCCAAAGUGUUAGGAUUACAGGUGUGAGCCACUGCACCCGGCUGCCUUUUCACUCCUAAUUGUAUCCUCUGUUGCACAGAAAUUUUUAAGUUUGAUGUAGUCCCAUAUGUCUCCUUUUUUUUCCCCAUGCUUUUUAUGAUUUCUAGCAUCUUUUUGUGGGCUUAUUGUGCUUGUAUAUCUUCUUUGGAGAAAUGUCUGUUCAAUUCCUUUGCCCUUUUUUGAAUGGGGUUGUUUGGUUUUUCUGUUGUGGAAUAUUUAAAUUUCUCUAUGUAUCCUCAAUGUUAAGCCAUACUAGAGAUAUGCUUUUCAAAUAUUUUCCCCCAUUCUGUGCAUCACCUUUUUUACUCUGCUGAAAGUGCUGUUUGAUGCAAAAAAGUGUUUAAUUUUCAUGAGGUCCAAUAUAUCUAUUUUUUCUUUUGUUGCCUGUGCCUUGGGUGUUAUAUUCAAGAAAUCAUUGACAAAUCCAAUGAUAUGCUCUUCUACACUCUUAAAAAUUAUAGACAACCCCAAAUAACUUUUAUUUAGUGGUUUUAACAAUAUUUACCAUGUCUGAAAUAUGAUAAACAUUAAAAUUAGUAUUUUGGAAAAAUGCCAUAUUAGAAACUGAUGAUUUAAAAGUAACAACAAUGAAUCCAUUACAUGUGAACAUACUGUUUUUUUGUUUGUUUGUUUGUUUGUUUUGAGACGGAGUUUCACUCUUUUGCCCAGGCUGGAGUGCAGUGGUGCGAUUGCAGCUCACUGUAGUCUUCGCCUCCCAGGCUCAAGUGAUUCUCAUGCCUCAGCCUCCUGAGUAGCUGGGAUUACAGGUGCUCACCACCACACCCGGCUAAUUUUUGUAGAGAUGGGGUUUCACCGUAUUGGCCAGGCUGGUCUUGAACUCCAGACUUCAAGUGAUCCACCCACCUUGGCCUCCCAAAGUGCUGGGAUUACGGGCAUGAGCCACUGCACCAGGCCAACAUACUUUUUAUAAAAACAGCUGUCUUCUCUAAAACAACAAAAAAAUGUAGAUAAUAGUAGUAUCAUUUUAUAGUUUUGCAACUCUCUUUAAUGUUUGGCUUAAUAGAAGAUAGUUGGAUUCUCGUAUCUGUUUUUGUAUUCAGUCUGUUGUGUAUGUUGUUUUGAUUGAAGUAGAUGAAGGAAAUCCAGCUACAUACAGAUUUGGAGUUGGAAAAAAUAGUAUUUUAAUAACCUUUUUAGAUCAUGGUGGAUACUCUUCUUUGUUAUGUCAUCAAAAUUAGACAAAUGGCAGUUUCUGAAAAAUUAGUUGUAAUGUGUGUAAAAAAUUAGUUGAAUCCAUAUCAGUGAACUCAUACUUUUCUAUAUUAAACUUCAUUGCUCUAUCUUGCACUUUGAAUGGGUCUUUUAUUCAUGCCUGAUUUUGUAACAUCAUGCAUUCGUCAUUUUGAAAAUGAUGGUUCAGUGAAUUAUUCACAUCUUCUAAAUGUAGGCACAUUUCAGUCUAUAAUAUCAAAAACAUAUUUGUCAGUGUUACCACUGAUUUCAUCAGAAAAGUCUUGAGGUGUUAAGAAGUCUUUAGGUAUCUACCAGCAUGGAUACACAUUUUCCAAAAUUUUAAAUCUUCACUUGACAGCUCAAAUUUUACAGUUGGCAACAAAUACUGUCAGUUGUUUUCUAUGAGGUGACAGGUUCACUUAAUUCAUUUUUGAGAAAAUGUUUGCCAAAUACCCAAGUCUGAAUAAUCAUAGUUUGUUAGUCAUUUUUUUCCUAAUAAAAAUGAUGUUCUAUGAAAAAGCAAGUAGUCAGCUUGUAAUUCAAACAAUCAGGUAAGUGCUUCCAGUACUUAGGUAUUCAGCAGAAGUGCUUUGUGUACAGAGUAUUAAUAAGACAUGUAUUCAAGGGAUAAGUUUUAAUAAAAUUAAUAAUUAUUACUCUAUCAUGGACAUUUUUACAUUAAGUUUGCCUUUCUGUUGAACUGCAAGUACAUGGGGGUGAAGACUGUGACUCCUGGUGCAGUUUGGUGCCUCUUCAUUGACUUAAGGCUCUAGAAGGCACCAAAUACUGUUGCUUUUGCAUCAUCAGUGCAAAUGUCCGCAAAGUGAAUGCUGCAGAAAAACUCUUGGUAUUAUUAUAAAAAUGAUGUUGACCUUGGCCGGGCGCGGUGGCUCACGCCUGUAAUCCCAGCACUUUGGGAGGCCGAGGUGGGCGGAUCAUGAGGUUGGGAGAUUGAGACCAUUCUGGCGAACACGGUAAAACCCUGUCUCUACUAAAAAUACAAAAAAUUAGCCGGGCGUGGUGGCGGGUGCCUGUAGUCCCAGCUACUCGGGAGGCUGAGGCAGGAGCAUGGCAUGAACCCGGGAGGCGGAGCUUGCAGUGAGCCGAGAUUGCACUACUGCACUCCACCCUGGGCCACAGAGCGAGACUCAUCUCAAAAAAAAAAAAAAAUGAUGUUGAUCUCUUGGAUCCCCCGGGAAGGGUCUUGGGGACCCAGGAGUCCAGGGAUCAUAAUUUGAGAGCCAUGGCCUAUACGACCAUGGGUACUAAUAGCACAUGCCUCCAGCACCCUCCAUCAGCCUCCCUCGGCCUCAUUUUCCUCAGUUGUAAAGGGAGGCCUGGGCAGGCUCUGUUUCUUCACACUGUUGGACCCUGUUUGCUAGCCCCCGAAGCUGCUUCUCCCUUAGCGGUGAUGCUGCUUUCAGCUCCUGCUUUUCCUCCCUCUCUCAUGCCUCCCUUUCUCUCCGUGGCUCCUCUUCCCCUCACUCUUUACAGGUUGGCAUUCUUCUUGUUUCGUCUCCUCCUCCUUUCCCUGGAUGAUCUUAUUUCCUCCCUGGUCUUUAACCAUCACCUGCAGGCUGACAGCUCCCAAAUCUCUAUCUUCAAUCCAGAUGUCUGUCCCGGGCUCCAGUUUUGUGGUUCCACCUGAGACCUUUCCACCUAUAUGCUUUACAGGUCACAGAAUUUUCCACACUCCUUGACAGAGGUGCUUAACCCUUAUCCAUCAGCAUUCUCAGACAGCACCUCCGGUUAGGGACAGUAUCUGACCGUCCGACAUCCCUGCAGCCCCCAUGUGUCACACAGACUCAGCCUCAGGUAGAUGGUUUCCGUAGAUGGUGGCUUUCUUUGGACCCUUGACAUCAACCAGUUACUAUUUGGUAAGAACUUAAGUCAUUCCAGUGCCUCUCUCAGAAGCAUUUGCAUUUAGAAUUUCAGGUGUCAUAGAAGUAAUGAAAGACGUUGCAUUCCUGAAGGAAUGAAUAAAUUAUUCAUUUUGUUGUUCUGGA
rnacentral:lncRNA from 1 species